rnacentral:rRNA from 1 species
GGCUUAACACAUGCAAGUCGGACGGUAGCAGGUAAGUACUUGUACUUAUGCUGACGAGUGGCGGACGGGUGAGUAAUGCUUGGGAAUCUGUCUUAUGGAGGGGGAUAACGACGGGAAACUGUCGCUAAUACCGCGUAGAAUCGGGAGAUGAAAGUGUGGGACCUUCGGGCCACAUGCCAUAGGAUGAGCCCAAGUGUGAUUAGGUAGUUGGUGGGGUAAAGGCCUACCAAGCCGACGAUCGCUAGCUGGUCUGAGAGGAUGGCCAGCCACACCGGGACUGAGACACGGCCCGGACUCCUACGGGAGGCAGCAGUGGGGAAUAUUGCGCAAUGGGGGCAACCCUGACGCAGCCAUGCCGCGUGAAUGAAGAAGGCCUUCGGGUUGUAAAGUUCUUUCGGUGAUGAGGAAGGUUGGUGUGUUAAUAGCAUGCCAAAUUGAC